GAAAAAGAGAGAUUUUUGUUUGGAUUUCGUAUGGAAAACAAGAUGGGUAUGACAGUCACCUCAGGCAGUGUCAACCUUGAGAAAGAUGACAGUAACCUCAUCGGCAUUAGUAUUGGGGGCGGAGCUAAAUACUGUCCGUGUCUCUAUGUUGUCCAGGUCUUUGACAACACCGCAGCAUCUCGGGAUGGCACCCUUCAGAGUGGAGAUGAGAUCACCGGGGUGAAU
rnacentral:misc_RNA from 1 species